GUGCGAUUUUAUUUUAAUUUAAACUGUGAGAAUGUUAUCCGGCAUUUAUUUGAUACAUUAUUCAGCUCACUCCCCAUUGGGGCUUUUCGUACCGAUUAUACAUAAUUUACAUCAAGUACUACGCUUACUUCUAUUACCUAUACUUAGUCUAGACUAUUUAUCUUUACAACACUGAAUUGUGAUAUUACUUUUCUAACUAUGUUUAUGCCUAACCUACGAGAAUGUGCAUGGGAGCUCUCUCCUCCGCAGAGGUUUCCAACUUUCCGUAAAUUUUUCCGUGUUUUCCGUAUUUUUGUGUUAUGGAAAGUUGAAAACCUCUCGGAGAGAGAUGUGUGAGGAAACCGCAGCACCCGGAAAAAACCACGACAUUCAGCAGAGCGUUGACCGCCUCUUUUCACACUUUGAGUCGGUAGCGAAUGUUUGCAUGUAUUUUGCUUUUGUCGUUUUGAUCAAGUGCAGCAAUUGCGGUUCAAAUGUAUAUCAGAAGCAGGGCGCUUAUAUAGAACCUUAUUCUAUAUAGAAGCGCCCUGAUCAGUAGGUAUAGCUACCCUAAAAGAGGCUAAAUAACAAAAAUCUGUAACUCUGUUACGGUUAGAAAAUCGGCCCGAAUUCUAUGAGGGGCCGGUGAUCAAGGCCAAAAUUCGUUAGUGCAGUUGCAAGUACGUUACCUUGGCUAUAAAGCCUCGUUUUCAUGAUUGAGGAUUUAACGAAUGUCACAUGCACGAAAUCGAGGCUCUAUAUAGCCAAAGUGACGUAUACUUUGUCUGUCAUAAACAUACUCGUUUAUAUUAAUUCGAUGCCGAAUUAAUAUAAACGAGUAUGUUUAUGACAUGCAAUAUUUAACAAAUAUAAAACAUUUUCCGUGUUGAUAUACAGUUAUAUCAACACGAGUGGAAAUUGGGAAAACGAGAAAUUGUGUGGAAACACGACGCCCGAAGGGCGGAGUGUUUU